AAGUGUUAUAGCUCUUUUAGAAUUUGUCUAGGAGGUUUUCUGGUCCUUACUGGAAACCUCCC
rnacentral:snRNA from 1 species